rnacentral:rRNA from 1 species
UAAUACAGAGACUGCAAGCGUUAUUCGGAUUCACUGGGCGUAAAGGGUGCGCAGGCGGCCGUGUGUGUAAGGUGUGAAAUCCCGGGGCUUAACCCCGGAACUGCGCCUUAAACUACAUGGCUAGAGUAUUGGAGAGGGUAGUGGAAUUCACGGUGUAGCAGUGAAAUGCGUAGAUAUCGUGAGGAACACCAGAGGCGAAGGCGACUACCUGGACAAUUACUGACGCUCAGGCACGAAAGCGUGGGGAGCAAAAGGG